rnacentral:tRNA from 1 species
AUAAAGUUAAGUUAAUUGUGACUGAAUGUUUUCAAAACAUUUAGAGGUUUUACCACUUUAUG